rnacentral:rRNA from 1 species
GAUGAACGCUGGCGGCGUGCCUAAUACAUGCAAGUCGAGCGAACGGACGAGAAGCUUGCUUCUCUGAUGUUAGCGGCGGACGGGUGAGUAACACGUGGAUAACCUACCUAUAAGACUGGGAUAACUUCGGGAAACCGGAGCUAAUACCGGAUAAUAUCUUGAACCGCAUGGUUCAAAAGUGAAAGACGGUCUUGCUGUCACUUAUAGAAGGAUCCGCGCUGCAUUAGCUAGUUGGUAAGGUAACGGCUUACCAAGGCAACGAUGCAUAGCCGACCUGAGAGGGUGGUCGGCCACCCUGGAACUGAGACACGGACCAGACUCCUACGGGAGGCAGCAGUAGGGAAUCUUCCGCAAUGGGCGAAAGCCUGACGGAGCAACGCCGCGUGAGUGAUGAAGGUCUUCGGAUCGUAAAACUCUGUUAUUAGGGAAGAACAUAUGUGUAAGUAACUGUGCACAUCUUGACGGUACCUAAUCAGAAAGCCACGGCUAACUACGUG